rnacentral:rRNA from 1 species
GAUGAACGCUGGCGGCGUGCCUAAUGCAUGCAAGUCGAGCGAACAGACGAGGAGCUUGCUCCUCUGACGUUAGCGGCGGACGGGUGAGUAACACGUGGAUAACCUACCUAUAAGACUGGGAUAACUUCGGGAAACCGGAGCUAAUACCGGAUAAUAUAUUGAACCGCAUGGUUCAAUAGUGAAAGACGGUUUUGCUGCCACUUAUAGAUGGAUCCGCGCCGCAUUAGCUAGUUGGUAAGGUAACGGCUUACCAAGGCAACGAUGCGUAGCCGACCUGAGAGGGUGAUCGGCCACACUGGAACUGAGACACGGUCCAGACUCCUACGGGAGGCAGCAGUAGGGAAUCUUCCGCAAUGGGCGAAAGCCUGACGGAGCAACGCCGCGUGAGUGAUGAAGGUCUUCGGAUCGUAAAACUCUGUUAUUAGGGAAGAACAAAUGUGUAAGUAACUAUGCACGUCUUGACGGUACCUAAUCAGAAAGCCACGGCUAACUACGUG